GCAACGCGAAGAACCUUACCAGGUCUUGACAUCCUCUGACAAUCCUAGAGAUAGGACGUCCCCUUCGGGGGCAGAGUGACAGGUGGUGCAUGGUUGUCGUCAGCUCGUGUCGUGAGAUGUUGGGUUAAGUCCCGCAACGAGCGCAACCCUUGAUUUUAGUUGCCAGCAUUCAGUUGGGCACUCUAAGGUGACUGCCGGUGACAAACCGGAGGAAGGUGGGGAUGACGUCAAAUCAUCAUGCCCCUUAUGACCUGGGCUACACACGUGCUACAAUGGACAGAACAAAGGGCAGCGAAACCGCGAGGUUAAGCCAAUCCCACAA
rnacentral:rRNA from 1 species